rnacentral:lncRNA from 1 species
GGACCUAUUCCUCCCGAACAGAACCUUGCAAACAUCCAUCAAACUGAUGAAUUUGUAGAACUUUUGUAUUUGGAAUGAUAUUUCUGUUGCGUCAUUCUUAAAUGCUGAAAAGAAAAAAAGAAGCAAGCAGCACAACAAACCCAGUGGUUUCAUUUUCAUGAUUCUGCAUGGUGCCAAGUAUAUCAAAACAGCAAGGGAAAACUGGAUAUCCAGCAGGGAAUGUAAAAUAAGCAGUCAGGUUUGGCUGAAUCUUCAGCUACCAAACCCAAGAGUCACUGGAUAUGGAGACAGCUCAAGACAAACUCACAUGGAUGUACAUGCAGGUAUUUCUAGGCUAAAUCUUAACUGAAUUAAAAGAGCUAUAAUGACAUAUUUUAUUAUGC